rnacentral:rRNA from 1 species
UACGUAGGGUGCAAGCGUUGUCCGGAAUUAUUGGGCGUAAAGAGCUCGUAGGCGGUUUGUCGCGUCGAAUGUGAAAACCUGGGGCUCAACCCCGGGCCUGCAGCCGAUACGGGCAAGCUAGAAUUCGGUAGGGGAGACUGGAAUUCCUGGUGUAGCGGUGAAAUGCGCAGAUAUCAGGAGGAACACCGGUGGCGAAGGCGGGUCUCUGGGCCGAUAUUGACGCUGAGGAGCGAAAGCGUGGGGAGCGAACAGG